rnacentral:sRNA from 1 species
UUUGUUUUCAUUUUGUUACACUCAUCUAGCUAAUUAAUCUUACCACUUAGGCUCAUCGUGUGAACGAAAGAACUUUGUGGAAUUCGAUCCUUAAGUACUAUCAACGAUCUCUUAUUUGAGAGAGUGGUCUUAGGGUAAUUUGACCUGCAUCAACAGUAGUUGAGGCUUACGAAGUGUAUAAUGGAUUUUCUUCACUACAUGGUGACGAGUUGGAGAUUCUCGAUAAUGAUGCUGCUUCGGUAUUCGAUGAUUUAGCCAAUUUUUGAGCCGAUCAGACACAAAUUGAACUCAGUACGACAUGUGCGGCUUUGUAUGUGGGGUGUGUUUCUAAGAACAGAAAAGUCAUACAACAAACAAUGUCUUUAUCUCGCAAUCAAACAAUACUUUUGCUAUAAGGUCAUGGCCUACAAGAUUGGAGAUAGUUUGCAUUGAUGAUACUUGUCCAUUACAUUUGACUGCUCAAGUCGUCAAGAACUCAGAAUGUUUCAAAAUCACAUAGUAUGAUACCACCCAUACGUGUGACAUCGACACUCGCAUGAAUUAUAAUAAAUAUGCUAGUUAUAAGUUUCUCGGAGAGGUAGUGAAGAGCAGAUAUAGUUCUACGCAAGGGGGUCCGAGAGCUGUUGAUUUACAACAGUUGCUCCUAAAUGAUCUCAAUGUUCGGAUUUCAUAUUCUACAGCUUGGAGAGCUAAAGAUGUUGUAGUGGAAAAUGUAAGGGGGGAUGAUAUAAAAAGUUACAGGUUUUUGCCUACCUAUUUGUAUCUUCUUAAAUUAGCUAAUCCAGGUACGAUAACUCACCUACACUCUACACAUGAAGCUGAUGGUAAACAUCACUUUAAAUAUGUAUUUGUAUCUCUUGGGGCUUGUAUAAACGGGGUGAAGUAUAUGAGGAAGGUAACUAUCGUAGAUGGAAAACAUCUAGUAGGACGUUACAAAGGUUGUCUCCUCAUUACAUGUGCCCAAGAUGGGAGGGAGAAUCUAGUUGAAGCAAGUACGGCCAAGUCAUGAAAUCGUCCAUCGCUAUGGCGUUGAUGUCCUUUGUGUUGACCAAGUUCCAGAGUGUCUCGAUAGGGGUCUGCUUCACAGAAAGGUAGUUCACGAGGAUGGUAACAGGGUUUGGCAAUUGUAUUCCAAGGUACAUUUUGGUUGGAGGAGUUGCUGGAAAAGGCAUGGUGCGUAUCAAGGAGGUAUACAGAUUUUGCUGGAGUUAAUGGAAGAGGUUUAAGAAUAAGUGAUGCUAAUAAAUAAGUGUGUGAGAUAUCGUUUUUAUAGGGGAGAACGAAAUGAAUGUAACUGGUAGGGCAUUUGUUUUUUUUUUGUCAUCAGCUUUUAAUUAGAACUCAAAAGAGCCAAUCUUGAGAAAAAUAGUUUACGUAUGUGACACGAAGCGGUUCGGUACAUUAAUUGGAAAUCGUGUACUUAGAGAGAUUUAUGUGACAAGACAGAGGUCAUAUCUAUGGCUAAAGCUUGAAAGUAUGUAAUUAAUAACAAAGCGAAGGCUCUGAAUGUAGAAAACAUAUUUGGUGGAGCGGAUCAGGUGUUUCAAACAGAAUUAAAGCGGAUCAAGCGGAUUAGGUGUUUCAAGCAGAAGUAAAGCGGAUCAAGCGGUUAGAAUGCGUCAAAAUAUGUAUUGAAUGGUAAAAACGGAUCAGACGGUGUAGAUGAAAUAAUUUAUUGUGAAAAAUAUUAAUUGCAAAUAAAGUAUAAUAUAUAAU